GGAAAAGUUUCCUUCAAUGGUCACCGGUUGAAUGAGUUUGUUCCCCAGGAAACAUUAGCUUAUAUAAGCCAAGAAGAUCUGCAUAUUGCUGUGAUGACUGAGGGAAACACUUGAAUUUGCUGCCCAGUGUCUUUGUGUUGGAAACCGAGGAAAUAUGAUGAUGGAAGUCAGUAAAAGAGAGGAGACAGGCACUGUUCCGGAUCCAGAUGUAGAUACUUACACAAAGGUGUCUUCAGCAUACUUAUCUUGUUUAUAUCAGAUGUAUUGUUCUAUAUGCAGUUGCUACAUGUAUGAAAUAUUCAUGACAUGGACAUGUGUUACUACCUCAUUGGGUGCAGUCCUAAGGUCGAGAGGCAGGAUCAAGCAAAGGCUGUUGAGAUUCUUGUCAAGGACCUUAAGAUUUUUGCAUCUUUCAAUGAAGAUCUUUUCAAGGAGAUUACUCAACUCCUCACUCUUGAUAACUUUAGGCAAAAUGAGCAUCUUUCUAAGUAUGGAGACACAAAAUCAACUCGUAAUAUUAUGCUUGUAGAACUCAAAAAGCUAAUUGAAGCAAACCCCCUGUUUCGUGACAAGCAUAUACAUGCCUUCAAAAGUUCACGUCUGAGGACAUUAAUAAACCAGAGGUGAUCAAGGAGUGAGUCGAAUGGAGGAUUCUCAGAUGUAAAUGAAGUAUCGUCAGAAGGAGGAGAAGAGGACCGAAACCUGAUGACGAGUAUGGAAGAUGAGGAAGAAAGCACCAAUAGAUGUCCUCUGAGGAAUAAGCCCUGUCUCUCCAAAGAAUGCUCUCAUCUUCUCAAAGAAAGUUUCAGGCAAAACUAUACCUCGUUAUAACUUCACCAUUUCUCGUUUUUUUUCUUUCUUUCUUUAACUCAUAAAACACCCUCUCCUUACAAUAAAUGUUUUGCUUUUAACGUCUUGAUUACCUAAUUUGCUCAGUUCUGCUUCUGUUUUCUUCAGCUAUUUUACUUCUCUAUAGUAUUUGUGUGCUAUCUUAGUUUAAUUUCCUAAUAUACUCAAUUUUGUCUCUAUUUUCUUCACGGGUAAUAGAGGAAAAGUUUCCUUCAAUGGUCACCGGAUGGAUGAGUUUGUUCCCCAGAAAACGUCAACUUAUAUAAGCCAAAAAGAUCUGCAUAUUGCUGUGAUGACUGAGGGAAACACUUGAAUUUCCUGCCCAAUGUCUUGGUGUUGGAAACCGCAGAAAUAUGAUGAUGGAAGUCAGUAAAAGAGAGGAGACAGGCACUGUUCCGGAUCCAGAUGUAGAUACUUACACAAAGGUAUCUUCAGCAUACUUAUCUUGUUUAUAUAAGAUGUAUUGUUGUAUAUGCAGUUGCUACAUGUAUGAAAUAUUCAUGACAUGGACAUGCGUUACUACAUAAUUGGGUACAGUCCUAAGGUCGAGAGGUUCUUCUGUCCAUUCAUUCUACUUUUUGUAGUGCACCUUGCCUUUAUAUCCAUGUUACGGUUGUUGGCACCAGUAUGCCAAACUCUGGCUGCUGCUAUGAUAGCCGGUGUUUUUGCAUUAUAUGAGUCCUAAUUUUUGGUGGUUUCAUUAUCACACAUAGUUAGACUAUUUGGACCUUAUCCAAUUUGAUUUCAAAAUCAUCUUCAAAAAGGAUAAACUUGUGCUAUGUCAUUGGUUGCAACCUUCAUGCCAGGGUGGUUAAAGUGAGGUUUUUGGGUUUCCCCUCUUUCAUAUAGAGAGAUAGCCCUUUUAGUGAAUGAAUUUCUCGCUCCUCAGUGGCGAAAGCCAGAUGGUAGUUUUAUCAAUGGUAGUGUUUGUGCUGCCCAGAAACACUACCAUCGGGUACUUGAAAGCCAUGGAUUAUUAAACUUUGAUGAAUCUUAUUUCUGGCUAGCAUUGGGCGCCUUGUUUGGCUUGGCUUUACUUUUCGACAUUGGCUUUAUCUUGACCUUAAGUUUGUUGAAGCCCCCCUGAUCAUCUUGUGUGAUGAUUUUGCCAGAAAAGUUGGGCAGGAUUCAAGGAGGUCAGGAUUCCGUUGAUGGUAAACUUGUGAAAGAAAAGUCUAGAAAUACUCCCACAAAGCGGCAGAAUGGUCUUACCUUUUGAACCCCUAUCAGUAGCAUUUCAGUAUAUUAAGUAUUUGUUGACAUCCCUGCGGUACUCCUCAAUAGCCAUUCUGCAUUCAAAAACAAUUAUUUCCAUUGCAUGAUAUUUUAAGGCAUCAGAUCUCAUACAGUCAUUUUUGCGUGUUUUGUGUAUAAUUUGCCUUUUACUUCCCUUUGGUUUUAGGAGGAGAAGAAAUUUCCAACUGCUUUCUGAUAUUCUGUUGGAUUAAGGCCUGAUGUGCUUACAGCAUUGAUGGGUGAUAGUGAAGCUGGAAAAUCCACUCUUCUAUGUUUUGGCCAUACGAUGUUGUAUUGAUAACAAACUUGUUCUUCUUGCUUUAAUCUCUCAUGAAUCAAUCAGUAAUGGUUUGUUAGUACUGAAAGCUCUGUGCUCUUUCUCCUGGAAAACUGAACUGGGGUCUCCAAUCAUGCACGUGUACAAAAGGAAAAGCAAAGGAAUUAAACAAAGGAAGAUCUCAGGCACAUUAUCGGGAGAAAACAACAAACAAUGAGGAAGCAAUUCAGAAGACAACAAAGAGGCAAAAUCAGGGCAGAUAAUGGCAGUUGAAAUCAAGGCGCAAAUAAAAUAAACUGAAAUCAAGGCCGGACAACCAGACCAAGAUUGAGAGAACAAAACCAAAACAGACUAUAAAAAGAGAAGAUCAGAUGAAGAAGAGGCAAGCAAGAAUUCAAUAAUUCUUUAAGGGGGUUUUACAGCCGAAAAAGAGAGGGGGCUGGCACCUCUACUGCAAGUAUAUUUCUAGUUCUUAUUACUAUUUUCUGUAAGAGAAUAAACACUUGUAGUGUGAAAUUUCAUCAAAAAAAAUUUCUCUGCA